rnacentral:rRNA from 1 species
GCUGGCGGCGUGCUUAACACAUGCAAGUCGACGAGAAAGGGGUAGCAAUAUCCCGAGUAAAGUGGCGCACGGGUGAGUAACACGUAAGUAAUCUACCUUUAGGUUCGGAAUAACUCCGAGAAAUCGGGGCUAAUACCGGAUGAUGCAGCGGAUCCACAUGGAUAUGUUGUUAAAGUCUAUACGACGCCUAAAGAUGAGCUUGCGGCCGAUUAGCUAGUUGGUAGGGUAACGGCCUACCAAGGCAACGAUCGGUAGCUGGUCUGAGAGGAUGAUCAGCCACACUGGAACUGAGACACGGUCCAGACUCCUACGGGAGGCAGCAGUGAGGAAUAUUGGGCAAUGCCCGAAAGGGUGGCCCAGCAACGCCGCGUGGAGGAUGAAGGUCGUAAGAUUGUAAACUCCUGUUAGAGGGGACGAAUAUCACCGAUCGACUCGGUGUUUGACUGUACCCUCAGAGAAAGCCCCGGCUAACUACGUGCCAGCAGCCGCGGUAAUACGUAGGGGGCAAGCGUUGUCCGGAUUCACUGGGUGUAAAGGGCGCGCAGGCGGGUUAACAAGUCAGAGGUGAAAUCCUACAGCUUAACUGUAGAACUGCCUUUGAAACUGUUAAUCUUGA